rnacentral:rRNA from 1 species
CAGUAGCCACGGGAAUACGUAGGUGGCAAGCGUUGUCCGGAAUUAUUGGGCGUAAAGGGCUCGCAGGCGGUUUCUUAAGUCUGAUGUGAAAGCCCCCGGCUCAACCGGGGAGGGUCAUUGGAAGCUGGGAAACUUGAGUGCAGAAGAGGAGAGUGGAAUUCCACGUGUAGCGGUGAAAUGCGUAGAGAUGUGGAGGAACACCAGUGGCGAAGGCGACUCUCUGGUCUGUAACUGACGCUGAGGAGCGAAAGCGUGGGGAGCGAACAGGAUUAGAUACCCGGGUAGUCCCUGUCUCUUAUAC